AGCAGAGUGGUGCAGCAGAAGCAUGGUGGGCCUUAAAACAGAGGUCGAUGGAUCGAAACCAUCCUCUGCUA
rnacentral:tRNA from 1 species